rnacentral:rRNA from 1 species
ACACAGGAAGGAUUGACAGAUUGAUAGCUCUUUCUUAAUUUCUGUGGGUGGUGGUGCAUGGCCGUUCUUAGUUCGUGGAACUGAUCUGUCAGCUUAAUUGCGUUAACGAACGAGACCUUUAAUUAUUAAUUAGUUAAAUAUAUAGUAAUAUAUACUUUAAAAAGAAAGAUAGAUUUUUAUUUUUCUUUUCUCUGACUUCUUAAAAUAACAAUUGGUGAUUAACCAAAGUAAGUUAAAGGCAAUAACAGGUCUGUGAUGCCCUUUAGAUGUUCUGGGCUGCACGCGCGUUACACUGAAAAUAUCAAUAAGUUUUUAUAUAUCCAAACAAUUAUAUUUUAUAUAUUUGUUUUGAUAUGUCCUUGAUUGAAAAAUUUGGGUAAACUUGAUAACUAUUUUCGUGAUGGGG